rnacentral:rRNA from 1 species
UACGGGGGGAGCAAGCGUUGUUCGGAUUUACUGGGCGUAAAGGGCGCGUAGGCGGCCACCGCAAGUCGGUUGUGAAAUCUCUGGGCUUAACCCAGAAAGGUCAACCGAUACUGCGGGGCUAGAGUGCAGAAGGGGCAACUGGAAUUCUCGGUGUAGCGGUGAAAUGCGUAGAUAUCGAGAGGAACACCUGCGGCGAAGGCGGGUUGCUGGGCUGACACUGACGCUGAGUGCGCGAAAGCCAGGGGAGCAAACGGG